GACGAACGCUGGCGGCGUGCCUAAUACAUGCAAGUCGAGCGAAGUUUUUCUGGUGCUUGCACCAGAAAAACUUAGCGGCGAACGGGUGAGUAACACGUAAAGAACCUGCCUCAUAGACUGGGACAACUAUUGGAAACGAUAGCUAAUACCGGAUAACAGCAUUAACUGCAUGGUUGAUGUUUAAAAGUUGGUUUUGCUAACACUAUGAGAUGGCUUUGCGGUGCAUUAGCUAGUUGGUGGGGUAAAGGCCUACCAAGGCGACGAUGCAUAGCCGACCUGAGAGGGUGAUCGGCCACACUGGGACUGAGACACGGCCCAGACUCCUACGGGAGGCAGCAGUAGGGAAUCUUCCGCAAUGGGCGAAAGCCUGACGGAGCAACGCCGCGUGAGUGAAGAAGGAUUUCGGUUCGUAAAGCUCUGUUGUUAGGGAAGAAUGAUUGUGUAGUAACUAUACACAGUAGAGACGGUACCUAACCAGAAAGCCACGGCUAACUACGUG
rnacentral:rRNA from 1 species